AGCAUAGUGGGCCUGGCCUUUGAUUGACAGUCCAGUGGAAGUCAUAAAGGCUUUACACAUUCAACACUUGUGUUAAUCUCCUGUUUCUUCAAUCCCAGAUGCAAUAUCUCCUGUGGGUUUGUGUUUUUCUGGAUUUAGGUCACACUUUAGGGAGCUGUGAAAAGUUAAGGGUGUGUCCCCGGGAUCGUGUAAUUGCAUACGUCACACAACAUGCAGUGCAGCCUCAGGCACUCCCGAAACCCGGGGAGCCCACCUGUAGGACCCCACGGGAUACGGGGGCCUCAGGCUGAGAACCCCUGUGAUGGGAAGAGACGCCGUGCCAGGUGGAGACCCAGAACACUGGUGGAUUCUUUUCUUUCUAAACCAAUUGGCUAAGAACGCAGACACAGUUAAGGUGGGGGAGCCAUUGGCUGAGAGCACAGACACAUUUAAGGUGGGGGAGCCAUUGGCUGAGAGCGCAGACACAUUUAAGGUGGGGGAGCAAUUGGCUUUCUCUUUGCUGGUCCCUGUAGCACGUCAGGGUGGGUGCCCGGCCGUGGGUGCUGACUCACAUGGCGGCUCUGGCAUCUGAAGCCUAAUGACGCCGUGGUUUCCCCCACCCUAAUGCAGAGGCGGAUGUUUCCUAAGCCCUGCUCUGCCCGUAAUAAAGUGCCAUUUCUGUGGUGGGAAAGACGGCACCAGCUUGCUAGGCACAGCCAUCAGAUUAAAUUUGAUCUCUACCUUAUUCCUUCCACCAAAAUGCAUUCCAGAUGGACCCCAGGUUGAAAUGUAAGAAGGGAAACUAUAAAGGACUAGAAGACAAUACAGGAGGAAUUUUUAAAUGGAGAAGGCAUUUCUAGCAAGAUAAAACUCAGAGCCACCGCAGGAAUCACUGAUGGAUUUGACUACAUCAGAACUUUAAAUUCCUACAUGGAGAGCAAACGCCAGAAGGGUUUAAAAAAUAAAAGCAAUAAACUGGAGAAAAAAUUAGUAUUUAAUAUAUAAAGAGCUCUUGUGUAAAAAGAGAAAAGGAGGGAAGCCAUAUGACAGUUAACAUUACAGAGGGGACAUGCUCCACCCCACUCCUAGGCAGUGACGGGCACUCACCUCAGUCUUCCUGCCUCACAGGUGAGCAAAGGGCUGUGAGCUCGGAACCGAUGGGUGACGGCGGGCAGCCACAGGUGGAGUGUGUAAACUGGGGCCUAGAAUAUAAACUCCAGGAAAAGGCAGGGGUCUCAUCUCCUUUGUUCACUGAUGUAUCCAUGGUACUUAAGUCCUGCCGGGCACUAAAGUGUCUCAGUAAAUAUUCUGUUGAGUGAAAAAUAGGGUAGAAUUUUGGUGGGCAAUUUGGGAGAAUCAGUCACAAUUAGAAAUGCAAAAACGUUUUGAUUCCGUGAUUGUAAGAAUUGAUUCUACAAAUAUGUACUUUGCAUAUUAAAAAUAGAAGGUUAGUCCUUGUAGUAACUUCGUUGAUGAUUUU